CUGUACUCCAAAUCUCUAGAUAACUCUGUCAUUCCAUGCAAACUGGCUGGGGUUUGCCCCUUUCUGCUGGAUAUUCACCCGACCUUUCCUGACCUACUGCCAUAUUUCCUCACUCCUUGUAUCCACCAGCCAUGAUAAAGUUCUCUUCUCAUAUUCAGGGCAGGACUGCUGCUCCCUUCCUAUGAAACUCCCUGGAAGAGCAUCCCACACACUUGGACUCCUGAGCAACUCAACUCACCCACACAAAAAAAAAGAGGUAGAGCUGAUGGGCUGCUGACAGGUGCUGCUGGAGGCUGAGAGAUGGAAAAUCAAGGAUGCCCUGACAUGGUCUGUCACUAGCUUGAAGAGAAAAAAGCAGGAUCCAGUCUUUUGUUAUUUACCGAUGUCACUGCAGCCUGGGAGAGAAAUCAACACAGUCAUGAAUUAUGGACCAUGCUGGUCUUUUCCAUCCCACCUAACACCUUCUGCUGCUGAGCACCUGAGGGAUAAGGAAAGCAGCAUCCUGGCCUGUGGGGGUGUGUUUCUGAGAUGGGAGAGGCAUGAGGGCACAGACUGGCAGGACAUAACACAUGCAGAGGUUACCAGCAGUAUCCUCACUCAUUUUGUGUGAAGAAAAGGAACUCCAACAUUACAUAAAAGAAAAAAAAAA